CCUACGGGUGGCAGCAGUGGGGAAUAUUGCACAAUGGGGGAAACCCUGAUGCAGCGACGCCGCGUGAGCGAUGACGGAUCUCGGUAUGUAAAGCUCUAUCAGCAGGGAAGAAAAUGACGGUACGUGACUCAGAAGCCCCGGCUAACUACGUGCCAGCAGCCGCGGUAAUGCGGAGGGGGCCAGCGUUAUCCGGAUUUACUGGGUGUAAAGGGAGCGUAGACGGCUUGGCAAGCCAGAUGGUAAAGGCUGGGGCUCAACCCCCGGAGUGCAUUUGGAACUGGCAUGCUAGAGUGUCGGAGAGGCAGGCGGAAUUCCUAGUGUAGCGGUGAAAUGCGUAGAUAUUAGGAGGAACACCAGUGGCGAAGGCGGCCUGCUGGACGAUGACUGACGUUGAGGCUCGAAAGCGUGGGGAGCAAACAGGAUUAGAUACCCCAGUAGUC
rnacentral:rRNA from 1 species